rfam:Chloroflexi bacterium OLB15 TZ15_CFX003CONTIG000040, whole genome shotgun sequence.
GGGGUCGUGGUGUAGUGGUUAACAUACUGCCCUGUCAAGGCAGAGAUCGCGGGUUCGAGACCCGUCGACCCCG